rnacentral:hammerhead_ribozyme from 1 species
AUCCAGCUGACGAGUCCCAAACAGGACGAAACGCG